rnacentral:rRNA from 1 species
GAUCAUGGGCUCAGGACGGACGCUGGCGGCGUGCCUAACACAUGCAAGUCGAACGGAACUGUUUUGAAAGAUUUCUUCGGAAUGAAUUUGAUUUAGUUUAGUGGCGGACGGGUGAGUAACGCGUGAGUAACCUGCCUUCAAGAGGGGGAUAACAUUCUGAAAAGAAUGCUAAUACCGCAUGAUAUAUCGGAACCACAUGGUUUUGAUAUCAAAGAUUUUAUCGCUUGAAGAUGGACUCGCGUCCG